rnacentral:tRNA from 1 species
GCCUGGGUGGCUCAGUCGGUUGAGUACCCAUCUUCCGCUCAGGUCACGAUCUCUGGGUUUGUGAGUUCAAGUCCCGCCUCGGGCU